CCGAGUGAUUGGCGCACACAGAGUGACAGAGAGGGGAGAGAGCACGGGUGGGGUGGAGACCGGAGCGGCGAGGGUUUCGGUGCCAGCGUCGCUGCCCUGGGUGGAGAAACCCCACCCCUCGCGCCCUCCGCCCGCCUCGGGGAGUCCGGCAGGGCUCCGGAUCUGCUCGGCCGCCGCCGCCGGCAUCGGGCCCUUCGCUUCGGCGGGAAGUUCUCCGCCGCAUUGCCCCCGUCUCCCACGCCUGUUUCCCCCCUCGAUUCCCCCGGCUUUCCGGUGGGUUGAUGCUUUGUUCCGCUCGAUCUCGGCGUAGAUGUACGUACUUUGGUAGUCUGUUUGGUGAUUUGUAGUCCACUCCUAGUAUAAUUUUUGCAUGCUGCAUGGAUUUUCCCUUGGAAUUGGCCCGGUGAUGAUUAGGCUGAAACCCCCAAUGCGGGGAUAGAUCGGCUCAGAUCUGAGCACGAAAAGCGAUCAGAAAUGGCUAAUGCGGCGCUGGCUUCUCUGUUCUGGGCGCUGAGGCCUGUGUCUGGGUCAGCCGUAUCUUCUGCUGAAGCUCUGCCACUGACCUAGGGCCGGCCCUUGUUGAGGUCUGCCUCUCCGUCCUUCUCCUACUCCUUGCCGUCGUCGCCGCCGUACUUUUGCCAUGGCCACGCCACGCCUCGCCACUUCUUUCGGUUCACCAGGCACGCCCCAGUGCCGGCUUUGGAGCCAGCCGCAUUAGCCCGCGAUGAAAACUGAAAUCUGAGGGCCAUGUUGUGAUGCAGAAUUCUCGGUAUAUUUUCGUCCGGAUCGAACUCUCUUGCAAUGCCACACACACUGUAAACCAGACAGCUUCUGCACAUUGUGUUAUAUUGUCGUAUGCAAUGCAAUGGUGGAAUGGAAUGCCAUCUUACAGUGUGUGGAGCACUCCUAGGCUAGUGAUUUGGUAGGAUAAUUAAUCGAUUGCACUGAAUCACCCGCGCUAAUCUCCUAUGGCUAUUUUCCUCUUUGUUUCCUCCGGCUUUCUGGUGGUAUGAUGCUUUGUUCUAAUCGAUCUCAGCUUAGAUUUACUUUCGUGGUUUGCUUUGUGCAUUUGUAGUUUAUACUAUGUUUUUGCUUUCUACAUGGAUUUUUCCUUUCUCUUGGCCUGAUGAUGAUUAGGAUGAAAGGCCCAUGUGGGAAUGGAUAGAUAGAUCAAUUGAUCGGCUCAGGUUUGAGCUUGAAAUGGGACCAGCCGUUGCAUUCGCAAGGUUGAAGCCCCUGAAAUGGCUAAUACAGCGCUGGCCUUCUCUGUUCUAGGCGCUGAGGCAUGUGUGCUUGGGUUAGCAGCUGCUUUUGCUCAAGCUCCGCCACUGACUGAUGGGAUGGUUCCCUUCUUCUCCACCACCACCACCACCACCAUUGCCUGGUCUUCUCCAUCGGUCCACCCAGACACAUCACAGUGCCAGCUUUGAAGCCCGCUGCAUUAGCCUUUGAUGAACCUGAAAUCUGAGGGCCAUGUUGUUAUGCGAAUUCUCGGUAUUUUCAUUUGAAUCGAACUGUUUUGUGUGGACUCACUGUAAAACAGCCAGCUUGCACAUGGUGUUAUACUAUUGUGUAGUGGGCAAUGGUGGAACGGGAACUCACAAUGUGUAAAGCAGUGCUUUGGGCCAUGCAUGUGCGCCUGCCUGUCUUUGCUGAGAUCCAGGCUAGUGUUUUGGUAAGAUAAUUAACUGGUCGUACUGAAUCAGCCACACCCAUCCCUCGUGUGCUACACAUGAUGGCCUAGGAUCACACUGACAGAUGUUACCAGUCCAUCUGAGGUUCAUUUUUUAUACAUCUAUAUUCUUGUUUUUGUUUCUUUUACCUUAUUCUGUGUCACCUGUCAUUUCAAGAACUGUUCAUUUGCCAUUCUUGAAUGCAGGUUGGCUGUUUUGUACUAGGAAAUAUGACAUGCUUUUGCUACAGAAAUAGUGAUUAGAACACUUUUGAUUUGUUUUCUGUUUUUCUUUCAGUUACUUCUCUUACCAGUUUAACCUCAUAUUACAUUACAUCUUCCAUUUAAUAAGAAACCAACUGUGAACUUUUGGCUUUGCACCAAAAUUUCGGUUUUGAGUUUUUGACUAUAUCAUGAUGGUAUUUUUUGAGGAUGGUGGUUAGAAGCAUGUAUUGCCUAAUGAUGAAAACUAAUGUCAAGAGAUGGAACAUGACAUGAUCCCUCCCCCUUCUCUCUCUCUCAUGUGUGUGUGCGCGCGCACGUACUUUGGCAGCGGAUCUACCUUUCUUCAUGCCCUUACAGGUGAAUUGAAUUUCAUCUCUUGUGCCAUCAAUGAAUGCUACAUAUUUGAACAUGUGAAGGCACAGGGCUUCAUUUUCAUAUCACAAAUUAUUGGCGAAGUUAUGUUUGACAUAUUUAUUUGGUUUCAUCUUCCAGAUCUGUAUAUAUUUGUUUGAUGCGAACCCUUCAUUUGCACUGUUAUUUCUUAUGCUUAGAUUAUGUUAAUUUCUACUGUGACAGAAUCGUGAUGUUUCAUUUUGUUCUUGAUGGUGGAUAGAAUCAUAUAAGUGUUCUCUUCUAUACAUCACCCGAUGAUGAAAAUUGAAAAUGUAGAGAUGGCACUUGGGCAUGAUCCUCUCCUCCCUGUCCUCCUCCUCCUCCUCCUCUCUCUCUCUCUCUCUCUCUCUCUCUCUCUCUCUCUGCGUGAUGCGUAAUGGCACAUGCGGCAGCAACAGCAGCAGCAGUUCAAUCUUUCACAUGCCUUAUGGACAAAAGGGAGAUCAUUUCUUGUGCCAUCAAUGAAUGCUACAUCUAUGGCACCUGAGGGCAUGACGUUUCUUUACCUUAUUCUGAAAACCGGCAAAAUUUGCAUGGAUAUAUUUAUUUUCAAUUUCAUUUUCCUUCAAUAGCAUUGUUGUCUCUUACGUUCAGAUUUUGCAUCAUUUUCGCUUUUGCUUCAUCAUUUUUGUGCAUUUGUUGUGGUUCCAUCUGAUUAUGAUUAAGUUUGCUCUGUGAUUUCUUCAUUACUUCUGUAGUACCUUCUUAGCUUUUUGUUUUGCUAUUCACCUCAGUGGAGGAAAAUCUUUGGUGUUUCAUGAUUUAUCACGACUGAUCACUGUUGUAAAUCAGUUUGCAUUUGAGUUCCGAUAACAGAAGUGGUAGCCCCUUACCAGGGAGAAGGUUUUGAAUUGGCCAAAGCAUUGUUGGUUUCUGUCUGUAAUGUUUAUUAGUGGUUUUAAGUUAGUAUUUUGGUUAUGAUUUGUGCUUCAAAAUUGCCCAUCUCCUACGUCUAUUUCCCCCUUCGAUUCCUUCGGCUCUCCGAUGGUUUGAUGCUUUGUUCCGGUCGAUCUCGGUGUAGAUGUACUUUGGUUGUAGUCUGUUUGGUGAUUUGUAGUGUACUAGUAGUACUAUAUUUUCCGCAUGCUGCAUGGAUUUUCCCUUGGAUUGGCCCGAUGAUGAUUUACUGAAACCCCCAAUGCGGGGAUGUGGAUGGAUGGAUGGAUAGAUAGACCGGCUCAGAUCUGAGCUCGAAAGGGAUCAGCCGUUGCGUUGCAAGGUUGAAUUAAGCCCCUGAAAUGGCUAAUGCGGCGCUGGCUUCUCUGUUCUUGGCGCUGAGGCCUGUGUCUGGGUCAGCCGUUGCUUCCGCUGAAGCUCUGCCACUGACCUAGGGCCGGCCCUUGUUGAGGUCUACAUCUCCGUCCUUCUCCUCGUCGUCGUCGCCGUCGCACUUUUGCCAUGGCCUUGCCUCGCCUCGCCACUUCUUUCGGUUCACCCAGACACACCCCAGUGCCGGCUUUGGAGCCCGCCGCAUUAGCCUACGACGAAACUGAAAUCUGAGGGCCAUGUUGUCAUACAGAAUUCUCGGUAUUUUCGUCUAAGUCGAACUCUUCUGCAUGGUCACACUGCAAAACACGCAGCUUUUGCACAUUGUAUUACAUUGUAGUGUAGUAUGCAAUACAAUGGUGGAAUGGGAUGCCAUCUUACAAUGUGUGGAGCACUCCUAGGCUAGUGAUUUGGUAGGAUAAUUAACUGAUUGCACUGAAUCACCUGCGCUAAUCUCCUAUGGCUAUUUUCCUGUCUGUUUCCUUCGGCUUUCUUGUGGUUUGAUGCUUUGUUCUGAUCGAUCUUGGCUUAGAUUUACUUUCGUGGUUUGUUUUGUGCGUUUGUAGUGUAUACUAUUCGCUUGUUGCAUGCAUUUUCCUUUCUCUUGGCCUGAUGAUGAUUAGGGUGAAAGGCCCAUGUUGGGAUGGAUGGAUAGAUUGAUUGAUCGCCUCAGGUUUGAUCUUGGAACGGGAUCAGCCGCUGCAUUCGCAAGGUUGAAGCCCCUGAAAUGGCUAAUACAGCGCCGGCCUUCUCUGUUCUAGGCGCUGAGGCAUGUGCUUGGGUUAGCCAUUGCUUUUGCUCAAGCUCCGCCACUGACUGAUGGGCUGGUUCCCUUCUUCCUUCUCUUCCUACCAGCUCACUGUCGGCGUCCUUGUCUUCACCACCACCACCAUUGCCUGGUCUUCUCUAUGGUCCACCCAGACACGUCACAGUGCCAGCUUUGAAGCCCUCUACAUUAGCCUUUGAACCUGAAAUCUGAGGGCCAUGUUGUAAUACGAAUUCUCGGGAUUUUCUUUCGAAUCGAACUGUUUUGUGUGGACUCACUGUAAAACAGCCAGCUUGCACAUGGUGUUAGACUGUUGUGAAGUGGGCAAUGGUGGAACGCGUACUCACAAUGUGUAAAGCAGUGCUUUUGGCCAUGCAUGUGCACCUGCCUGUCUUUGCCGAGAUCUAGGCUAGUAUUUUGGUAAGAUAAUUAACUGGUCGCACUGAAUCAGCCACACCCAUCCCUCGCGUGCUAGAUAUGAUGGCGUAGGAUCACACUGACAGAUGUUACCAGUCCAUCUGAGGUUCGUUUUUUAUACAUCUAUAUUCUUGUUUUCGUUUCUUUUACCUUAUUCCGUGUCACCUGUCAUUUCAAGAACUGUUCAUUUGCCAUUCUUGAAUGCAGGUUGGCUGUUUUGUAGGAAAUAUAACAUGCUUUUGCUACAGAAAUAGUGAUUAAAACACUUUUGAUUUGUUUUCUGUUUUUCUUUUAGUUACUUUUCUUACCAGUUUAACCUCAUAUUACAUCUUCCAUUUAAUAAGAUCCCAACUCUGAACUUUUGGCUUUGCACCAAAAUUUCUGUUUUGAGUUUUUGACUAUAUCAUGAUGGCGUUUUUUUUGGGAUGGUGUUUAGAAGCAUGUAUUGCGUAAUGAUGAAAACUAAUGUCAAGAGAUGGGACAUGCCAUGAUCCCUCCUCGCUUCUCUCUCUCAUGUGUGCGUGUGGGCGCACACACACACACACACACACACACACACACACACAUUGACAGCGGAUAUACCUUUCUUCAUGCGCUUACGGGUGAAUUGAAGAUCAUCUCUUGUGCCAUCAAUGAAUGCUACAUAUUUGAACAUGUGAAGGCACGGGCUUCAUUUUUCAUACCACAAAUAAUUGGCGAAGUUUUGUUUGACAUAUUUAGCUGGUUUCAUCUUCCAGAUCUGUAUAUAUUUGUUUGAUGCGAACCCUUCAUUUGCACUGCUGUUUCUUAUGCUUAGAUUAUGUUAAUUUCUAUUGUGACAGAAUGUGAUGUUUCAUUUUGUUCUUGAUGGUGGAUAGAAUCAUAUAAGUGUUCUCUUCUAUACAUCGCCCGAUGAUGAAAAUUGAAAAUGUAGAGAUUUCGACAUGAUUCUCUCCUCCCUGUCCUUCCUCCUCCUCCUCCCCCCCCCUCUCUCUCUCUCUCUCUCUCUCUCUCUGCGUGAUGCGUAAUGGCACAUGCAGCAGCAGCAGCAGCAGUUCACACCAGAUCAAUCUUUCACAUGCCUUAUGGACAAAAGGGAGAUCAUUUCUUGUGCCAUCAAUGAAUGGUACAUCUAUGGCACCUGAGGGCAUGACAUUUCUUUACCUUACACUAAUAACCGGCAAAUUUUGCAUGGAUAUAUUUAUUUUCAAUUUCAUCUUCCUUCAAUAGCAUUGCUGUCUCUUACGUUCAGAUUUGCAUCAUUUUCGCUUUGCUUCAUCAUUUUUGUGCAUUUGUUGUGGUUCCAUCUGAUUAUGAUCAAGUUUGCUCUGUGAUUUCUUCAUUACUUUUCUAGUACCUUCUUAGCUUGUUGUUUUGCUUUUCACCUCAGUGGAGGAAAAUCUUUGGUGUUUCAUGAUUUAUCACGACUGAUCACUGUUGUAAAUCAGCUUGCAUUUGAGUUCCGAUCUCGAAGUGGUAGCCCUUUACCAGGGUUAAGGUUUUGAAAUGGCCAAAUCAUUUGGUGGUUUCUGUCUGUAAUGUUUAUUAGUGGUUUUAAGUUAGUGUUUUGGUUAUGAUUUGUGCUUCAAAAUUGCCCCGUCUCCUACGUCUAUUUCCCCCUUCGAUUCCUUCGGCUCUCCAGCGGUUUGAUGCUUUGUUCUGGUCGAUCUCGGUGUAGAUGUACUUUGGUCGUAGUCUGUUUGGUGAUUUGUAGUCUACUAGUAGUACUAUAUUUUCUGCAUGCUGCAUGGAUUUUCCCUUGGAUUGGCCCGAUGAUGAUUAGGCUGAAACCCCCAAUGUGGGGAUGUGGAUGGAUGGAUAGAUAGAUUUAUCGGCUCAGAUCUGAGCUCGAAAAGCGAUCAGCCGUUGCGUUGCAAGGUUGAAUGAAGCCCCCUGAAAUGGCUAAUGCGGCGCUGGCUUCUCUGUUCUGGGUGCUAAGGCCCGUGUCUGGGUCAGCCGUUGCUUCCGCUGAAGCUCUGCCACUGACCUAGGGCUGGGCCUUGUUGAUGUCUGCCUCUCCGUCCUUGUCCUACUCCUCGCCGUCGCGCCGCACUUUUGCCAUGGCCACGCCACGCCUCGCCACUUCUUUCGGUCACCCAGACACGCCCCAGUGCCGGCUUUGGAGCCCGCGGCAUUAGCCUGCGAUGAAACUGAAAUCUGAGGGACAUGUUGUGAUGCAGAAUUCUUGGUAUUUUUGUCCGAAUCGAACUCUCUUGCAAUGUCACACACACUGUAAAACAGACAGCUUCUGCACAUUGUGUUAUAUUGUCGUAUGCAAUGCAAUGGUGGAAUGGAAUGCCAUCUUACAGUGUGUGGAGCACUCCUUGGCUAGUGAUUUGGUAGGAUAAUUGAUCGAUUGCACUGAAUCACCCGCGGUAAUCUCCUGUGGCUAUUUCCCUCUUUGUUUCCUUCGGCUUUCUGGUGGUUUGAUGCUUUGUUCUGAUCGGUCUCGGCUUAGACUUACUUUCAUGGUUUGCUUUGUGCAUUUGUAGUGUAUACUAUGUUUUCGCUUGCUACAUGGAUUUUUCCUUUCUCUUGGCCUGGUGAUGAUUAGGGUGAAAGGCCCAUGUGGGGAUGGAUAGAUAGAUCGAUUGAUCGGCUCAGGUUUGAGCUUGAAAUGGGAUCGGCCGCUGCAUUCGCAAGGUUGAAGCCCCUGAAAUGGCUAACACAGCACUGGCCUUCUCUGUUCUAGGCGCUGAGGCAUGUGUGCUUGGGUUAGCCGUUGCUUUUGCUCAAGCUCCGCCACUGACUGAUGGGAUGGUUCCCUUCCUUCUCUUUCUACCAGCUCAUGUGUCACCACAUGGUGACACAGCUGUCGCUGCCGUCUCGUCGUUGUCACCACCACCACCACCAGCACCAUUGCCUGGUCUUCUCCAUCGGUCCACCCAGAUACAUCACAGUGCCAGCUUUGAAGCCCGCUGCAUUAGCCUUUGAUGAACCUGAAAUCUGAGGGCCAUGUUGUCAUACGAAUUUUCGGGAUUUUCAUUUGAAUCGAACUCUUUUGUGUGGACUCACUGUAAAACAGCUUGCACAUGGUGUUAUACUGUUGUGUAGUGCGCAAUGGUGGAAUGCGAACUCACAGUGUGUGAAGCACUGCUUUGGGCCAUGCAUGUGCGCCUGCCUGUCUUUGCUGAGAUCUAGGCUAGUGUUUUGGAUAAUUAACUGGUCGCACUGAAUCAGCCACAUUCAUCCCUUGUGUGUUAGAUAUGAUGGCGUAGAAUCACACUGACAGAUCUUACCAGUCCAUCUGAGAUUCAUUUUUUGUACAUCUAUAUUCUUGUUUUCGUUUCUUUUACCUUAUUCUGUGUCAUGUGUCAUUUCAAGAACUGUUCAUUUGCCAUUCUUGAAUCCAGUUGGCUCUUUUGUAGGAAAUAUGACAUGCUUUUGCUACAGAAAUAGUGAUUAAAACACUUCUGAUUUGUUUUCUGUUUUUCUUUCAGUUACUUUUCUUACCAGUUUAUCUUCGUAUUACAUCUUCCAUUUAAUAAGAUCCUAAUUGUGAACUUUGGGCUUUGCACCAAAAUUUCUGUUUUGAGUUUUUGACUAUAUCAUGAUGGUAUUUUUUGGGGAUGGUGGUUAGAAGCAUGUGUCUCGGCGUAGAUGUACUUUGGUAGUCUGUCUCAUGAUUUGUAGUAUAUUUUCGCAUGCUGCAUGGAUUUUCCCUUGUAUUGGCCCGAUGACGAUUAGGCUGAAUUGAAACCCCCAAUGAGGGGAUGUGGAUGGAUGGAUGGAUCGAUAGAUCGGCUCAGAUCUGAACUCGAAAAGCGAUCAGAAAUGGCUAAUGCGGCACUGGCUUCUCUCUUCUGGGCGCUGAGGCCUGUGUCUGGGUCAGCCGUUGCUUCCGCUGAAGCUCUGCCACUGACCUAGGGCCGGCCCUUGUUGAGGUCUACCUCUCCGUCCUUCUCUUCAUCGUCGUUGCCGUCGCCGCACUUUUGCCAUGGCCUUGCCUCGCCUCUUCUUUUGGUUCACCCAGACACACCCCGGUGCCAGCUUUGGAGCCAGCCGCAUUAGCCUACGAUGAAACUGCAAUCUGAGGGCCAUGUUGUGAUGCCGAUUUCUCGGUAUUUUCGUCUGAAUCGAACUCUUUUGCAAGGUCACACACUGUAAAACAGACAGCCUCUGCACAUUGUGUUAUAUUGUAGUGUGGUAUGCAAUGCAGUGGUGGAAUGGAAUGCCACCUUACAAUGUGUGGAGCACUCCUAGGCUAGUGAUUUGGUAGGAUAAUUAAUCGAUUGCACUGAAUCACCCGCGGCAUAGCCGGUCCCAAGCCCGGGUAAAGGAGGAGGGUUGUGAUAGGCUUGGCGAGCCAACGUAAAAACUAGCCAGUCCCAUAGGUAUGAAACCCAUUUGAGCGAGAAUAGUACUAGGAUGGGUGACCUCCUAGGAAGUCCUCGUGAAAGGGUUUCAUAUCUAAGGGUUGUGAUAGGCUUGGCGAGCCAACGUAAAAACUAGCCAGUCUUUUGGGUAUGAAACCCAUUUGGGCGAGAGUAGUACUAGGAUGGGUGACCUCCUGGGAAGUCCUCGUGAAAGGGUUUCAUAUCUAGCCUACCCCAACUUGUUUGGGAUAAAAGGCUUCGUAAGUAAGUAAGUAAGUACUGAAUCACCCGCGCUAAUCUCCUAUGGCUAUUUUCCUCUUUGUUUCCUCCGGCUUUCUGGUGGUUUGAUGCUUUGUUCUAAUUGAUCUCGGCUUAGAUUUACUUUCGUGGUUUGUUUUGUGCAUUCGUAGUGUAUCCUAUGUUUUGCUUGUUGCAUGGAUUUUUCCUUUCUCUUGGCCUGAUGAUGAUUAGGGUGAAAGGCCCAUGUGGGGAUGGAUAGAUAGAUCGAUUGAUCGGCUCAGGUUUGAGCUUGAAAUGGGAUCAGCCGUUGCAUUCGCAAGGUUGAAGCCCCUGAAAUGGCUAAUACAGUGCUGGCCUUCUCUGUUCUAGGCGUUGACUGAUGAUGGGUUAGCCGUUGCUUUUGCUCAAGCUCCGCCACUGACUGAUGGGAUGGUUCCCUUCUUUCUCUUUAUACCAGCUCACGUCACAGUGCCAGCUUUGAAGCCCGCCACUGUCGCGGUGCCAGCUUUGAAGCCUUUGAAGCCCGUUGCAUUAGCCUUUAUGAACGUGAAAUCUGAGGGCCAUGUUGUAAUACGAAUUCUAGGGAUUUUUAUUUGAAUCAAACUCUUUUGUGUGGACUCACUGUAAAACAGUCAGCUUGCACAUGGUGUUAUACUGUUGUGCAGUGUGCAAUGGUGGAACGCGAACUCACAGUGUGUGAAGCACUGCUUUGGGCCAUGCAUGUGCGCCUGCCUGUCUUUGCUGAUAUCUAGGCUGGUGUUUUGGUAAGAUAAUUAACUGGUCGCACUGAAUCAGCCACACCCAUCCCUUGUGUGUUACUCCCUCCAUUCCUAAAUAUAAGCCUUUCUAGAGAUUCCAAUGCGGACUACAUACGAAGCAAAAUGAGUGAAUCUACAGUCUAAAAUAUGUCUAUAUACAUCCGAAUGUAGUUCUUAUUGAAAUCUCUAAAAAGGCUUAUAUUUAGGAACGGAGGGAGUAGAUAUGAUGGUGUAGGAUCACACUGACAGAUGUUACCAGUCCAUCUGAGGUUCAUUUUUUGUACAUCUAUAUUCUUGCUUUAGUAUCUUUUACCUUAUUCUGUGUCAAGUGUCAUUUCAAGAACUGUUCAUUUGCCAUUCUUGAAUCCAGUUGGCUCUUUUGUAGGAAAUACGACAUGCUUUUGCUACCGAAACACUCCCUCCGUCCCAUAAUGUAAGAACAUUUUUCAAGCUAACAUAGCUUGAAAAACGUUCUUAUAGUAGUGAUUAAAACACUUAUGAUUUGUUUUCUGUUUUUCUUCCAGUUACUUUUGUUACCAGUUUAACUUAUUACAUCUUCCAUUUAAUAAGAUCCUAACUGUGAACUUUUGGCUUUGCACCAAAAUUUCUGUUUUGGUUUUUGACUAUAUCAUGAUGGUAUUUUUGGGGGAUGGUGGUUAGAAGCAUGUAUUGCCUAAUGAUGGAAACUAAUGUCAAGAGAUGGCACAUGACAUGAACUAACUCUCUCUCUCUCUCUCUCUCUCUCUCUCUCAUGAUCUCUGUUUGAUAUAUUUAUUUGGUUUCAUGUUCCAGAUCUGUAUACAUUUGCUUGAUGCGAACCCUUCAUUUGCACUGCUAUCUCGUAUGCUUAGAUUUUGCAUUAUUGCCAUUUGGCUUCCUGAACCUUUUGAAUUUGCGUCAGAUCAUGGACAGGUUUGUUCUGUUAAUUUGUUUAUUAUGUUUCUAGUAUCUUCUUGUUUCUUGCUUUGUUUUGCUUUGGCUAUUUGAUCUUAACCCUUCAUUUGCACUUAAUUUCUAUUGUGACAGAAUCAUGAUGUUCCAUUUUGAAAAUGUAGAGAUGGCACUUGGACAUGAUCUCUCUCUCCCUCUCUCUCUCUCUCUCUCUCUCUCUCUCUCUGCGUGAUGCGUGAUGGCACAUGCAACAGCAACAGCAGCAGCAGUUCACACCAGAUCAAUCUUUCACAUGCCUUAUGGACAAAAGGGAGAUCAUUUCUUGUGCCAUCAAUGGAUGCUACAUCUAGGCACCUGAGGGCAUGACAUUUCUUUACCUUACACUAAUAACCGGCAAAAUUUGCAUGGAUAUAUUUAUUUUCAAUUUCAUCUUCCUUCAAUAACAUUUCUGUCUCUUACGUUCAGAUUUUGCAUCAUUUUCGCUUUGCUUCAUCAUUUUUGUGCAUUUGUUGUGGUUCCAUCUGAUUAUGAUUAAGUUUGCUCUGUGAUUUCUUCAUUACUUUUGCAGUACCUUCUUAGCUUGUUGUUUUGCUCUUCACCUCAGCGGAGGAAAAUCUUUGGUGUUUCAUGAUUUAUCACGACUGAUCACCGUUGUAAAUCAGCUUGCAUUUGAGUUCCGAUCUUGAAGUGGUAGCCCUUUACCAGGGUGAAGGUUUUGAAAUGGCCAAAGCAUUGUUUGUAAUGUUCAUUGUCCUUUAUCACGACUGAUCACUGUCUGUAAUGUUCAUUAGUGGUUUUAAGUUAGUAUUUUGUUUAUGAUUUGUGCUUCAAAAUUGUCCAUGAAGUUCUGAUACUGGUUCUAUACACCAAUUAGUAAUGCCUUCUACAAUGUAUUGCCCAAUGAUGAAAACUACUCCCUCCGUCCCAUAAUGCAAGACGUUUUGUGACACUACACUAGUGUGAAAAAACGUCUUACAUUACGGGACGGAGGGAGUAAUAUGUAGAGAUGGCACAUUACAUGGGCACGCGCGUGCAUGUGUCUGUGUGUGCUGACAGCAGAUAUAACUUGAACAACUGAAGGCACAGGCUUCAUUUUUGUCAUCUUACACAAAUUACCGGUAAACCUUUGUUUGAUAUAUUUAUUUUCAGUUUCAUCUUCCAGAUCUGUAUAUAUUGGCUUGAUAAAAAUCCUUAAUUUGCAUUCCUUUCUCUUAUGUUUAGAAGAUUUUACAUUAUUGCCAUUUGGCUUCAGUUUCGUGAAUUUGCUUGUUUCAUCUGGUCAUGGUCAGGCUUGUUCUGUUAAUUUGUUUGUUAUGUUUCUAGUAUCUAUUUUGUUGUUGUUUGCCUUCGCUUUGGCUAUUUGAUCUGAUCGAUCUUAGUAUAGUUUUGUUUUCUUGGUUUAUUUUGUAGUGCAGUUCUACUGCUAUAUAUUUUGCUUGCUACUUAGAUUUGCCCUUGGCCCAAUGAUGAUUACAAUGGAGCCCUCAUGCAUGCAUGGAUGGAUCGGCUUAGAUUUGAGCUCCAAACAGGGCCAGCUGUUGCCUUCGCAAAGUUGAAGCCCCUGAAAAUGGCUAAUGCAGCACCGUCUUCUCUGUUCUGGGCGCUGAGGCAUGUGUCUUGGAUCAACCGUUGCUUCUGCCGAAGCUUUGGCACUGACGCCUGGCAAAAGGUGUUCUUCUUCUGCUUCUGCUGCUUCUUCUUCUUCUUCACUCGAUUGUUGUUGUCUCUGGCAACUCAUGUGCUAUACCGGUGAACCAAGGCACGCCCAAGUGCCAGCUUUGAAGCCUGCUGCAUUAGCCUGUGAUGAAACUGAAAUCUGAGGGCCAUAUUGUAAUACAACCUUGUUGGUAUUUUCAAUGGAAUCGAACUCUUUUGCAUGUGCUCACUGCCUAACAGCCAGUGUGCACGCUUUGCUUCUCUUAUUUCAUUAUCUUGGUAUAUACUCCCUCCGUUCCUAAAUAUAAGUCUUUCUAGAGAUUAUACUAUGGACUACAUACAAAUCAAAAUGAGUGAAUCUACACUCUUAAAUGUGUCUAUAUACGUCCGUAUGUAGUUUGUAGUGAAAUCUCUAAAAAGACUUAUAUUUAGGAACGGAGGGAGUAUUAGCUAAGGUUUAGGCUAGUGUUUUGAAUAAAGUUAUGUGCUUCAUGGUGCUGAAGUGUGUAUGUGGAUUGCUAGCUCUUUCCAUCAGUUCGGACUUUUCGUUGCAUUAGCUAGUGCUGAAUCAUUGUUCCACAAUCAAUGGAACAAAAUCACUCACAUCCCCCUGCCAUGUCGUCAGAUAUGAUGGCAGAGGAUCACAGUCUGACAGAUGAUACUAUUUCAUCUGAGGAUAAUUUUUCAUACAUUCAUAUUAUUUAUUUCUUUGUGCGAUCAGUAUUGUUGUGUCACGUGUCAUAUGUAUCAUAAACAUUCCAUUUGCCAUUCUCAGAUGCAGGUUGGUUCUUCUAUAGUAAAGCAACAUACGCAACAUCCGCAUUUAGUCAUCAAAUGUCUUGUCUAUGUUUGUUGAUUUUCUUUCUGCUUUGUUACCACUUUGUGUUUUUUUCGUAUGUCUCUUUGCGAAACCUCAUAUUACACCUUGACCCAAUUAAUAUCCCAAUUGUGGGCAUGUGGCUUGCACUUAAUUUCUAUUGUGACAGAAUCGUGAUGUUUCAUUUUGUUCUUGAUGGUGGAUAGUAUCAUGCAACUGUUGGCUUCUAUAAUGCAUCGCCCAAUGAUGAAAAAUGAAAAUGUAGAGAAUGGCACUUGGACUUGAUCCUGUCCCCCCCCCCCCCCCCCCGAUGCAGCAGGAGCAGCAGCUCACACCAGAUCAAUGUUCACAUGCCUUAUGAACAAAAGGGAGAUCAUAUCUUGUGCCAUCAAUGAAUUGCUACAUCCAUGGCACCUGAGGGCAUGAUGUUUCUUUUUCAUAUGUUACACUAAUUACUGGCCAAAUUUGCAUGCAUAUAUUUAUUUUCAGUUGCAUCUUCCAGAUCCGUCUCUGUUGGCUUGAUGGGGACCCUUCAGUAGCAUUGCUGUCUCUUAUGUUCAGAUUUUGCAUCAUUUUUUGGUUUGAUUAACCAAUUUUGCGCAUUUGCUGUGGUUUCAUCUGAUUAUGAUUAAGUUUGCUCUGUUGAUUUUUCAUUACUUUUGUAGUAUGUUCUUAGCUUGUUGCUUUGCUUUUCACCUCAGCAGGGGAAAUUCUUUGGUGUUUCAUGAUUUAUCACAAGCGAUCACUGUUGUAAAUCAGCUUGCAUUUGAGUUCCAAUCUCAAAGUGGUAGCCCUUUACCAGGGUGAAGGUUUUGAAGUGGCCAAAGCAUUGUUGGUUUCUUUCUGUAUUGCUUGUUAGUGGUUUUAAAUUAGUAUAUUGGUUAUGAUUUGUGCUUCAGAACUCUCCAUGAAGUCCUGAUACUGGUUCUAUACACCAAGAUUGGUCUUUUGGAUGGUGGUUCGAAGUAUAGAAAUGCCUUCUAUAGUGUAUUGCCCCAUGAUUGAAAACUAAUAUGUAGAGAUGGUGCAUGACAUGGUUUCUCCCUCUCUCUUGCUGUAAUAAAUUGGAUAAAAUUUAUUUUAAGGUGGCUAAUCUAAAUAUAGGAGGAUAUGGUUGCAAACCUUGGGAUGUUUUCCAGUUUUUUGUUUGGAAAUAAUUGAUCUGCUGUUAAUUUGAAGAUGACAAGGAGAUAAGGAGGAAAAUUAAAAGGCUUCUUUGGUGGAUGGGUAGGAGAACUCCGGAUCUGCCAAGGAAGCAGGUGAGGGAGGAGACGUCUUGUGCUGUAAGGGUGUCUCGCAGACUGAUUUUCUUGAUUUGAUGUAUUGUCAUUGCAUAUAUCAUUAUCUCAAAGUCUGGUUAGUGUUUGAUUUUGCACAGAUUUGUUUGGGAUCUGCUUUGAAGCAAGCAUCGUUCCUUGCGCUCACAGAAUGGGAAGUUGCAGAAAGAGAGAAAAGGUGGGCCACUCAGAUGUGGCUCAUUGACGAUGUAGGAUUGAAUAUGGAUAAGGGCAGGAUGCCGCUUUCAUCAACAUGAAACAUGACCACACCACUUGGAGUUGGAGAUGACAUACUCACAUGAGCCUUGGGAAGCUUUUGUAGUGGUGCUUGUUUGCUUUGGAUAGUAUAUGCUUGAUAAUUUCCCCGUGUUGUUCGCAUGUGUAAGCGGGUGAAUGGAUUAUCUUGUAAUGAACUUCUAGUUUCUUGAAGCAGCAACAACCAUGUCCUCCUUUGUUGAAUUUGCUUGAGAAUGCAUAGUUUGGUCAGUUCGCUA